rnacentral:lncRNA from 1 species
UGUCUCAGAAGAAGGACUUAUUUUUUGGCUUAGGUCUAAAACCUUGAGAGUAAUGCUCACUGGUCAAUUGAGGAUGCUUUAUCAAUGACUCCAGUCUGACUCCAAGGUCAGAAAGGAGAGUGAGAUGCUCUCUCUGCCUGCAUAUAUCUUCAUGGAACAUGAGAAUAUUGAGCAACAUAGACUUAUAGGAAAACACUUGCCCAAAAGUAGCCAGAGUGACCUGGUCAUCCCCUCUACUAAACCCAAGCUUUGUGUCAAGGGCCUUCAAAGCUGCCCAGAAGUGAUCUGGAUGGCUUGGGAAUUUAUCCAAGACAGGAAUUUCCUGACAGCCAAAGAUGCUUGAGUCCUUGUGCCUGACAUGCAUUUAUUUUGCCCCUGUUUAUUGAAGACUGUAACUGUUGAUUUGUGGGUAUACAUACAUACAUACAUACAUACAUACAUACAUACAUACAUAUGCUGUCAUGAAGGCAGCAUCAAACAUUACUAAUUGGACUCAAACCAGCAUUUCUGUUUCCAAGAUACUAAGUAUUCCCAUGCAAACAGGAGCAUGCUAUUUUUCUAAAGCAAAAUGAAAAAAAUAGUUUUGAAAGUAUAUAUAUGAUGGAGUCAAGUGUAAUGGCAUACAUCUGUAAACCCAGCACAUGGGAUGCUGAGCCAGGAGGAUUGCCGUGAGUUUGAGGAGAACAGGGGCUAAAUAGUAAUUUUCAGGAAAGCCUUGCCUAUAUAACAAGACCUUGUCUCAAAUGAAAAAAAAAAAAAAAAUAGACCCCAGGCUGGUCCUUGGAGAUAAGGUAAUAUAUUCAUUGGGUGAGGGGGUGUGUGUUUUGGAAAAUAGUUAAUUUAGUGAGAAAUGCUUUUCGGUCAAAUGCAUCUCAAAGGCUGCUGAAUUCAAAUCGGGUCUGUAAAUGCUUACCUAGUGCUUGCUUGCCCUGGGGACAGAGACAUAAAUUACUUUAGUCUCAGAUCCACUCGUUCUAACAGAUUGGCAUCUCCAUCGUCUGUGGAGCUUUUAAUCACUCUGUUUGUAUUAGCUAAUUAAUUAGCUAACUUGAGACACACUGAUAUUUUCUUAUUAUAAACAUGGGUGCCAUUUGAUAAAAGACAAUCAUUAACAAAAUGGUUCGAAUUUCCGCUUAAGUGAUCUUCUUUUUUCCUUUUCAUUUUUUUUAACUAGCUAAUCAAAGGUAGUUUCCCAAAAAUAAAUGCAAAGGGAGUAUAAAGAAAAAAUUCCCUGUGGUGGGAGCUAGUAUUGAAACAACAGUAUCAAAGAGGCUGUUACCUACUGGCCUCAAAUUUUGGCAGGAACGCCUUUGAAAAUGUUAGAACUUUACGGACAGCCUAGAGGUGCUUUGAAAAGUCUCUGUUGCCAACAAAAGCCAUUAAUCAGCAUGCGGCACAGGUUACUCAAAUUUUGACCUUGACUGUUUUUUAGAUCUGUUACACAGAACACAACUUCUGGGCUGUAAUCUCUGAUGUGGAUUUGGUGAUUUACUAAGGUACCGUGGGAAACAAGGAAAGUGUACUUGUACCACAUCGUUUCUCAGUGCAUGUCAGAGUCUACUCAACAGCAGGGCAUGCCAGAGCCUUGGAUACAUUCCGGGACAAACUAUGUCACUCCUAAGGAAAUUCCAAGUGUGUGCCUGUCAAGCACUCUGGAUCAUAGAAGCCCACGAGUUCACUGUGCACAAGGCACAGCCAUGGCCAGCACUCUCUUGCAUGGUAUUUCUCUUAAGCUCUUACUCAAUCACGGUCCCAUGAUUGUGACAUUGGGGAUUAAUUGCUUGAGCAGGUUUAUUUACAGUCUGUUCCUUGCAAAAUACAUGCAGAUAUGUCUGGCCUCAAAAUCCCCUGAUUGUUUUAGGGCUUAGAGAAUACUGGGGAUGUUUUUGCUGUUUUCAGAUGUACUUUAUUUAAGCUUGCAGAAUUACCCUGAAUAUUAACAGUGUUCUAAGAUAUUGCCUGCUAGCUUCUGGCUAAUUUACUAGUGGUGACAGUAUCAGAUCAGAGUAUCUAUAUUUAUGUCUUGCUAUUAUAGUUAAAACUUCCUGAUCUCUGUAACACACUCACCCCUACCUCAUCUAUCUACCCAUCUUGUGGAUGUAGCUGUGAGAAGACUCACAAGCCCGAGUUGCAGUUACUUUUCUGAAGCAACAUAGUAUGUUAAUGGAAUGGCCAGAACUCUACUCUUGGCACAUGGCACUGAAUUUGAUGCCACUAAAAGAAAAAUUGAAGGCAGAAAUAUUUUUUACUAUGCAUGGGACAACGUAGAAGAGCAAGGAGACUGCUUACACAUGGUGGUCACAUCUCUGGCUUCAUCCCUAAACCAAUUUUCUGACCCCAAGUCGAUUUUUUUUCAUGUAGUUAUUGUUCAUUUUCUGGAAAGAGUCAAGCAAAAAGAGAGUUUUAUAGAAACCAUUGCAUCAUGGAGGUCAGGGGAGGGAUUAAGCCAAAGAAUUCCUUCUCCAAAUCUAUAGCCAUAUGGCCACCCUUUGGUGUACUUCUAUUUGAUCAUGACAAACCUGAGAGCCCUGCCCAGAGUUCAGUGGAUCCUAAUGAACUCCAAGAGUAAUUCAUUCCCUCACCAACUCUAGGGGCUUGGCCAGUGCAGAAAAUGUCAUGGGAUUUUAAAGUUAACAUGAGCUGCUAUCCAAACUUAUGUCUCUUUAAGAAUGGAGAGACACAGGCCAGGAGAGGUAACAUAUGAAGCCUGGUAUUGGGCAGUAGCUUGAUGGAGUAUUGAGGCUAAAAGUAGACUUCCUGCCCCUGACCAUACACAACACCCUUUCAGUUUGAUCCAUGGUGGUCUUAUUCUACUUUAUUUUGAGCACCUGUCACACCUAGUUACUGUCAUGCCAAGAAGGUCCAUAACAGGCAAAUCCUACUCUGCUGUGUGCACACAAGAGGAAGGAGGCUCACAGUAGCAAGUAAACAGAUAAGCAAACGUACACGAUUUUCGUCUUAAAGUCAUUAAGACACACGCGUACCCCUCUUUUGUUUCAGAGGGUAUACAGGCUGAACAGAUGUCAGUGUUCACCUAUUCUUAUUGAUAAGCCCCAUGUGCUUUCAUUGGUUGAAUGUUUUAUGUUAAAACGUCAUAUUGCCAUCGUAAAAUGCAUAUUGUAUGUUGUUGGGUAUAUAAUUAACUAAUAUGCAUCGCAUGUAUGAAUUCUAAUCUCUGUAAAUGAAAACUUAUAUAUGUUAACAUAUGUAAUAGUUAUAAUUUAAUAAACUGACACUGGAGAC